CAAGAAGUAGCUUAUCCUUUAAAGCACCCAGCUUACGACUAGGAGAUGUCAACCACCAAGACCUUUUUGA
rnacentral:tRNA from 1 species